rnacentral:rRNA from 1 species
AGUGAACGCUGGCGGUAGGCCUAACACAUGCAAGUCGAACGGCAGCACAGUAAGAGCUUGCUCUUACGGGUGGCGAGUGGCGGACGGGUGAGGAAUACAUCGGAAUCUACUUUUUCGUGGGGGAUAACGUAGGGAAACUUACGCUAAUACCGCAUACGACCUACGGGUGAAAGCAGGGGAUCUUCGGACCUUGCGCGAUUGAAUGAGCCGAUGUCGGAUUAGCUAGUUGGCGGGGUAAAGGCCCACCAAGGCGACGAUCCGUAGCUGGUCUGAGAGGAUGAUCAGCCACCAGGGAACUGAGACAGGGUCCAGACCCCUAGGGGAGGCAGCAGGGGGGAAUUUUGGACAAGGGGCGAAAGCCUGACCCAGCCAUACCGGGGGGGUGAAGAAGGCCUUCGGGUUGUAAAGCCCUUUUGUUGGGAAAGAAAAGCAGCAGGUUAAUACCCCGCUGUUCUGACGGUACCCAAAGAAUAAGCACCGGCUAACUUCGU